GAAAAUUACAUACUUAAAUUAUACAAAAACAUCAAAAUAAAAAUAGGUUUCAUAUAUUGUGCAUGAAAUAUUUAAAAGUUAAAAAUUUUCCGCGCUUGUAUAACUGCGACAACAAACUAUCGCUUGCUUGUAUUUCAUGUGUAGAUUUGGCAUGCACAUGUCAAAAAUAAGGCCAAAAAAAUGUUUAAAAAUUAAAAAAGCCCAUUCUCAUUUGGUGAUUUUCAGAAAACUAGGUACUUAAAUGAUACAAAAACAUCAAAAUAAAACUAGUUUUCAUAUAUUGUGCAUGAAAUAUUUAAAAGUUAAAAAUUUUCCGCGCUUGUAAAACUGCGACAACAAACUAUCGCUUGAAAAAAAAAACUUGCUGUUUUUAUCAAUUUAUGGCGCUUCAUCUGGUGGAACUUGACAAAAAUACAUGUGAUUGAACAUACUUGAUUUCCAAACACACAUUCCAGUUGCAGGUUUUACAACAACAGCCGUUUAAAAAACUUUUUCUUCGUCUUUUUUUUCAUCUUAUAAACGAACGAAGUUGUUUUGCAAAAACAAUCG